AAGACGGGGGCCCACCGGCCUGCUGGCUCCUCACCAAACUCUACUCCGCAUUGACUGUGGGCUCUUGUUCUAGAGGCACCCGCAUCCUCAGGAUGAAAUGUGAGUACAAGAGCAGAGACUGCCGGUGCUGGUGUUUGCAGCCUCUGAUUCAACAGAAAUCUGGAAGUGUUCACAGCUUGGCCCGGAGAAGAUCGUUUUAAAUCUACAGCUUUAAAAUGUGGUUGAAAAGGAGCCCAGGUUGGAUUCUGCCAGCAGGUCCGCUGGCCGCUGUUACCUCCCCACUGUCAACGCCUAGGUCUCUGCCUCCAGCCCUGUUUCAGCCUGUCCUUGAGGAUUUGCUUCACCUCAUUUACUGAGCUUGCCACAGAUUCAUUACCUGGCAUCAGAGCUCCCCUCUCACUGAGCCUGCCCAGAGGGGUGCCAGUAUACUAGCCAGAUGCCGCUGGAGGGACUCCACAAUAAAGCCUGGCUAUUAAAGACUUCAACAGUCUCAUAAAGUCACUUUGCCAGCUGUAGAGCACACAAGUGCCCACAGAUCCAAGCCUCCUUCCUUCCCCAAAGAAACACCUUGGAUAAAGUCUUGGAAUAUCAUCCAUUAGCACAUGGCUCCAGCCAACACAUGAAUUCCCUUACACCAGCACAUGGUCUCUCUUUCCUGUUCAUUCACUUUGGAAGACAGUCCUUGAAAUGACAAGGCCUGGAGUGUCUUGUACAACCACCGCCAAUCCGGUUUCCAGCAGAGGCUUGUGGGCUAGGGAGUGUAUCGAUUUGUAUUGUUAAAGGAAUUUCCUGCUCCUCUCAGUGUCAGCUGAAGAGCCCUCUGCAGUCAUUCUCCUAUUUUGAGAGAAGAGAAACAAGAGGAGACGAACUCCUGGUUCCUUCCUACGGGGUGUAUAGACCAGUGACAAUGUUAGUCCUACAAUUUGGAUUUAUUUGUUUGUUUUCUAAUCACCGCCACUUCUCCAAGUACAAAGUCUGUGUCUAUAAUUAGAUAUCUUCUACAUGUUACACCGGCAAGUCCAUCUCAUCAUUUUACAGAGGGAUGGUGACUUCCUUUAGCGCCCCAUACUGACCGCGGUCCCUCACCUGCUGACUGAUUGACUUAUAAAUCUGCCCCCCACCCACUUGUCUGUCCAUUGAAGGCAAAUUCGCCAUCGGGAACACAGUAGUUUCUCAAUAACUAUCUAAUGCAUGGCCACCCUUCCCAGGAUUUAGAAUAUCAAAGGGACGUGUUCUUUCCUCCCAAAUCACCUGCCUGCGCUUCCCCCAGCCGGGUGCCCCAGCCUUCACCUCGGUCCGGCCACCACCUCAUCCCGCUUCUUCGCGGCUUCCAGGCCUCGGGCUGGGAUCUCAGCCCCUGCCUGUAGGUGCGGCCCAGAGGGUGCGACACGCGUCGGAGCGGGGCAGCGGAGGAGGGGACAGGGACGCGGCAGCCACACCCGCAUCUCUUUCCCCUCUCGGGCAUCCCCGAGGGCCCUUCUGCCUCCAGUUCCUUGAGCCCCCGAAGCCCCCCAUGCGGCAAGAGCGAGUCGCAGGAACAAGUGGGGAAUCUUGGCCGCGGCCCCCUCCCCCGCCUUAUAAAAAAGAAAUUGACUUUUGUUUGGAGUUUGUGAAAAGUGGGGCUCGGGGCCCAGUCAAUGGGGCGCCCCGCGGCGCGGGCUGAGUGGAGCUAGCGCGAACCGCUCAGCCGCGGCCCCAAUUAAUCCGCCCUUUGUGCGGCCCGCCCGGCCGCCCCCGCCGCAGCCGCACCAGCGGCCCAUUGUUCGGCCUCGCCGGGCCGCGGGAUUUACCCUUUUCAAACAGCCGGUUUUGUCCAGGGCAGUUCGAGCGGAAGUUUCUCACUGACAAUUUGCCCCAAAUAGAUAGAUUUGUCAGAAGCGACCUUCGGGAAGGAAGCAAAAAGCCACCGGCCCGAAGGUUGGGCCCAAAACAGGGACUCUGCGUCCCACCCGCGGCC
rnacentral:lncRNA from 1 species